GAUGAACGCUGGCGGCGUGCCUAAUACAUGCAAGUCGAGCGAAUGGAUUAAGAGCUUGCUCUUAUGAAGUUAGCGGCGGACGGGUGAGUAACACGUGGGUAACCUGCCCAUAAGACUGGGAUAACUCCGGGAAACCGGGGCUAAUACCGGAUAACAUUUUGAACCGCAUGGUUCGAAAUUGAAAGGCGGCUUCGGCUGUCACUUAUGGAUGGACCCGCGUCGCAUUAGCUAGUUGGUGAGGUAACGGCUCACCAAGGCAACGAUGCGUAGCCGACCUUGGAGGGUGAUCGGCCACACUGGGACUGAGACACGGCCCAGACUCCUACGGGAGGCAGCAGUAGGGAAUCUUCCGCAAUGGACGAAAGUCUGACGGAGCAACGCCGCGUGAGUGAUGAAGGCUUUCGGGUCGUAAACUCUGUUGUUAGGGAAGAACAAGUGCUAGUUGAAUAAGCUGGCACCUUGACGGUACCUAACCAGAAAGCCACGGCUAACUACGUGCCAGCCGCCGCAGUAA
rnacentral:rRNA from 1 species